CAAAAUAAGUAAACUAACGUCCAAUUUGAAAGAAAAUAAGAAAAAUCUCCCCACUCCCUUUCCCACGUUGAAACCGCCUCUCUCUCCACUCACUCCAUAAAUCUCUCCUACAUCUAAACCAAAUCACCUCCUCUCUAUACGUUCAUCAAUCAAUUUUCCUAUUUUUCCCAUCUCUGCAACAAGAACUCAUUUCUCUGAAAUCCACGACAAACCUUGAAGAAUUGCCGAAUUCUCAAUCCAGUCUCAACCGUGGUUCAAAGAAUCUCCCUUUUCACCCUUGUGAACUCCACAACCAAGUCCAAUUAACGGAGGUGAGACUUCGCAAGGGAAUCGAGAUACCAAAGGGAAGGAAGUGUAGAGAAUUAAUCAAUUGAGGUUGAGCGGCGACGAGGAUGUGGUGGUGUUGAGCAAGUGAAUUUAAGAUAUUAUUAUUAUCUCUGAACCUUGAGAGUCGUUGUAUCCUCACACAUGGCGUCACUCUUUCUCUUGGUCGUUUCCGCUGUGACUUUUCAUUUAUUCAUGUUUUAUUUGGGCCGACAGCUUUAAUUGUUAGGAUAAUGGCUUUUCCGAAUUUCUUGUUGGAUAAUAUUAAACUCUUGGUUAUUUAAUUGGAUAUUAAUAGUUGGUCCAACUUGUGUUGAAAUCCUUAUCUUAUUCGUCUGUUUAUUAAAUUCUUUUAAUCACGAUCGCCCGUAUUUAUUAACCCUAAAGGGCGGUCGUGACAACUAUAGAACAGAGAUAGUACUUUCCAGGGACAAGAAAGAUAGAGAAACGAAGAAAACGCGACAACUCAGUUAAUUCACGGAAUCAUAUGUGGGCGUAGCGCCUUGGCACCUGAUACGGUUACAACACUCCCGACACCUAUGGACGCGCUGGUGCUGACGGAAGAGGCAUUGGAGAAUAGCAGCGAAGAACAAGAAACUGUGACAGAGGAACCAAGACUCUCCAGGAGACAAGUGCAGAAGUCGGAGUGGUUCAAGGAUUAUGUUUCACGUUGAUUUUGUUAUUUUUGUGUUUUAUUAUUUUUGGAUAUUGUUGCUUUAUUUAAUUUUGGAACAUUUUUUAGUCGAGCGUAUUAUAAGCUCCGUUUUGGGUUU